UAAAAAUGAAAGCAGCGAUCUGAUUGGUUGCUAUGGGCAACUGGGCAACUUUUCCUCUAGACGGGUUUUGAUAAAUCUCUUGUGCACAUUUUCUGCUGUGGGAACAUAGCCAAUGGGCGUUGCAGUACCUCAGGACUUGGACCACCAUUAAUACAAUCGCGCGCGCGAUCUUCCAUGAGGAUGCCAGCUUUUACAUGAAUCCACUUACCUGCCUUCAUCUCUAGAGACCCUCUUGGCCGGACGCCUGCCCGUGCCUACCUGCACCCUGCCGGGACCGCUGGACCCUGUAAUCGUGAGUGACCCCACAUUGCGGACUGCAGCUCAUCCACCAUUAUGCCUUACAAUAUCCCCACCACACCUACCACUACCAGUCCCACUAGCACUAUGCUCGGCCACUGCAUCACCCUCCACCACCUCAGCAACAUGCUACAAUGGCUGACCGUGACACAAUUCCUCCUCGUGGCUCGUGUUAUUCAUUUGCAUAGCAGUAGGGGGAGGAGCAAAGACAGAGAUGAGGAGACAGAGUAACUAGGACGGACAUUUCCACCAGUCCAUGUAACUGUAGACAAUGAGGAAUCCACUGACAGCUGGCUCACCAUCAUAUCAUCA